UACGGAGGAUCCAAGCGUUAUCCGGAUUUAUUGGGUUUAAAGGGUGCGUAGGCGGCCUAUUAAGUCAGGGGUGAAAGACGGUAGCUUAACUAUCGCAGUGCCUUUGAUACUGAUGGGCUUGAAUGGACUAGAGGUAGGCGGAAUGUGACAAGUAGCGGUGAAAUGCAUAGAUAUGUCACAGAACACCAAUUGCGAAGGCAGCUUACUAUGGUUUAAUUGACGCUGAGGCACGAAAAGCGUGGGGGAUCAAAACAGG
rnacentral:rRNA from 1 species